UUGUCGGUGAAAGUCCGACCGAGGUAGGGACCAAGCCACCUCGUAGCCAGCAGGCGUCUGGUGGCGAGAGCCUAAGGAUGGAGCACCUGUGAAAGCCCCGCGAAACACUGGGGUAAGGCAAAACUGCAGGCUGUAACAUAA
rfam:Alicyclobacillus ferrooxydans strain TC-34 contig_62, whole genome shotgun sequence.